UGCAGCAGCCCUCUUCAUUGACCUGAACCC
rnacentral:piRNA from 1 species